UAAAAGGUUUUUAUCAAAACCACCUUCAUAAAAGUUAAAGCAGCAG
rfam:Danio rerio chromosome 11, GRCz11 reference primary assembly.